UUUGGGGGAAACAAACGGAUUCCCCUGAGAACAGAACUCGCUGUAGUGCUGUGAUAGCAGCUAAUCGUAAAAAAAAAAUGGCUCAGACAUACACCCUCUCUUUGCCGGCUGAGGACCGUGAGCGGUAUUUAAAGAAGCUAAUGGAUACUGGAUUGCAGAGGUGUCCCUUUGAAAUGGUCGAAAAUUGGAUUAAUGACCCCACGCAGUGGCCAAAUAUGGACUAUUCAGACAUCUACCACUAUCUCGUGGAAUCACCAAAUUAGGGGAGAGCUGUUCCCAUGUGGGUGCAGUUCUGUAUAAGCUGGAAGCUUCAGUCCGCCUGGGUAUCACCACCACUGUUCAGCUGCAAAUGUUUGUGUGUGCUGCGCAGUAUGCAGACUUUGUUACUUGGACCCCACAGCAGACCACCAUUUUCAGAAUCCUAAAAGAUGAUGAAUUCAUUCACGGAAUGGUGGACAUGAUAAGCAGAUUUUGGGCAAAACACAUCCACCCGCGAUUGAUGACAACAGUGCUACAAAGUGAGACUGGACCAGACAGCGAGGGAGUGGACCGUCAAGGAUGUGAAAGCGGCCUUUCAGCACACCAAUCACCCGCUCUGUGAGGACAACAACAACAAAAAGGAGCGCUUUUUAAAACUGACUUUUCACAUACAUCAAAAUGUUAUUACAAUAAACUAGUUCUACUUACAACUUA